rnacentral:rRNA from 1 species
UACAGAGGCCACGAGCGUUAGGCGGAAUCACUGGGCUUAAAGCGUGUGUAGGUGGAUCGGUAAGUACCUUGUGAAAUCCCACGACUCAAUCGUGGAACUGCUUGGUAUACUGCCAGUCUUGAGGUACUCAGGGGCAAGCGGAACAGAUGGUGGAGCGGUGAAAUGCGUAGAUAUCAUCUGGAACGCCAAUGGUGAAGACAGCUUGCUGGGGGUAUUCUGACACUGAGACACGAAAGCCAGGGGAGCAAAACGGG